rnacentral:rRNA from 1 species
UCCUGGCUCAGGAUGAACGCUAGCGACAGGCUUAACACAUGCAAGUCGAGGGGCAGCAUAAAAGUAGCAAUACUUGGUGGCGACCGGCGCACGGGUGAGUAACGCGUAUGCAACCUACCUAUCAGAGGGGAAUAACCCGGCGAAAGUCGGACUAAUACCGCAUAAAACAGGGGCACCGCAUGGUGAUAUUUGUUAAAGAAAUUCGCUGAUAGAUGGGCAUGCGUUCCAUUAGGUAGUUGGUGAGGUAACGGCUCACCAAGCCGACGAUGGAUAGGGGAACUGAGAGGUUGGUCCCCCACACUGGUACUGAGACACGGACCAGACUCCUACGGGAGGCAGCAGUGAGGAAUAUUGGUCAAUGGGCGAGAGCCUGAACCAGCCAAGUCGCGUGAAAGGAAGAAGGAUCUAUGGUUCGUAAACUUCUUUUGCAGGGGAAUAAAGUGCAGGACGUGUCCUGUUUUGUAUGUACCCUGAGAAUAAGGAUCGGCUAACUCCGUGCCAGCCGCUGC